rnacentral:rRNA from 1 species
AUUGAACGCUGGCGGCAGGCCUAACACAUGCAAGUCGAGCGAGCGGCGGACGGGUGAGUAAUUUCUGGGAAACUGCCUGAUGGCUGGGGAUAACUACUGGAAACGGUAGCUAAUACCGCAUACCAUCAGAUGUGCCCAGAUGGGAUUAGCUCGUAGGUGGGGUAAUGGCUCACCUAGGCGACGAUCCCUAGCUGGGCGGAGAGGAUGACCAGCCACACGGGAACUGAGACACGGUCCAGAAUCCUACGGGAGGCAGCAGUGGGGAAGAUUGGACAAUGGGCGCAAGCCUGAUGCAGCCAUGACGCGUGUGUGAAGAAGGCCUGUGGGUUGUAAAGCACUUUCAGCGGGGAGGCGUUACCAGCAGAAGAAGCACCGGCUAACUCCGUGCCAGCAGCCGCGGUAAUAC